CAGCCGCCACGGUAAUACAGAGGGUGCGAGCGUUAAUCGGAUUUACUGGGCGUAAAGCGUGCGUAGGCGGCUUCUUAAGUCGGAUGUGAAAUCCCUGAGCUUAACUUAGGAAUUGCAUUCGAUACUGGGAAGCUAGAGUAUGGGAGAGGAUGGUAGAAUUCCAGGUGUAGCGGUGAAAUGCGUAGAGAUCUGGAGGAAUACCGAUGGCGAAGGCAGCCAUCUGGCCUAAUACUGACGCUGAGGUACGAAAGCAUGGGGAGCAAACAGGAUUAGAUACCCCCGUAGCCCUGUCUCUUAUACA
rnacentral:rRNA from 1 species